AUACAGGGGGUGCAAGCGUUGUUCGGAAUUACUGGGCGUAAAGGGAGCGUAGGCGGAUCUACAAGACAGUGGUUAAAUCUCCGGGCUCAACCUGGAACUUGCCUUUGUGACUGUGGAUCUUGAGUAUGGUAGAGGUUGGCGGAAUUUCCGGUGUAGCGGUGGAAUGCGUAGAGAUCGGAAAGAACACCAGAGGCGAAGGCGGCCAACUGGACCAAUACUGACGCUGAGGUGCGAAAGUGCGGGGAGC
rnacentral:rRNA from 1 species